CGAGCGGGGUGCGGGCUUCGGCCCGUUACCUAGCGGCGAACGGUUGAGUAACACGUAGGCAACCUGCCCCGGAGUGGGGGACAACUCGUGGAAACGCGGGCUAAUACCGCAUGUGGCCGGAGGACACCUGUUCUCCGUGCUAAAGGCGAAAGUCGCUCCGGGAGGGGCCUGCGGCCUAUCAGCUUGUUGGUGAGGUAACGGCUCACCAAGGCGACGACGGGUAGCUGGUCUGAGAGGAUGGUCAGCCAGACAGGGACUGAGACACGGCCCUGACUCCUUUGGGGGGCAGCAAUGAGGGAUAUUGCACAAUGGGCGAA
rnacentral:rRNA from 1 species